AAAGACUCUCGUCGUCUCACAAGGUUCUCCUUGACUCUUUAUUCAAACAUCUCUUAGCUUCAUUCUUCUUCCUCCACGACUUCCUUUGCCUUUCUUCUUCUAUAAUAUGACUUCUUGAACCUAUCAAUACUUCCCCAACGAAAUCCAGCUUGCCCUCAAGCUGGUAAGACGGAAAACGAGCUUUAAAUUCUUCAUACAACAACCAAGAAUUCUCAAGAGCUGACUUCCCUUGCCACUGGACCAACAACUCCAAAUCUCCUGUCGAAUUAUAACGUUUCUCCAAUACGUCCUCUGGUUCAAACACUUCAUCAUCGAUGGUAACACAUCCUGGUGGCAACAAACUACACUACUCUUGCGGACCAAGUGCCAGUUUAAGUUUAGAAAUAUGAAAAACCGCGUGAAUACGAGCCUCUGGAGGAAGUAAAAGCUUA
rnacentral:lncRNA from 1 species